GGUUAAGCGACUAAGCGUACACGGUGGAUGCCCUGGCAGUCAGAGGCGAUGAAGGACGUGCUAAUCUGCGAAAAGCGUCGGUAAGGUGAUAUGAACCGUUAUAACCGGCGAUGUCCGAAUGGGGAAACCCAGUGCAAUUCGUUGCACUAUCGUUAACUGAAUACAUAGGUUAACGAGGCGAACCGGGGGAACUGAAACAUCUAAGUACCCCGAGGAAAAGAAAUCAACCGAGAUUCCCCCAGUAGCGGCGAGCGAACGGGGAGCAGCCCAGAGUCUGAAUCAGCUUGUGUGUUAGUGGAACGGUCUGGAAAGUCCGACGGUACAGGGUGAUAGUCCCGUACACCAAAAUGCACAGGCUGUGAACUCGAAGAGUAGGGCGGGACACGUGGUAUCCUGUCUGAAUAUGGGGGGACCAUCCUCCAAGGCUAAAUACUCCUGACUGACCGAUAGUGAACCAGUACCGUGAGGGAAAGGCGAAAAGAACCCCGGCGAGGGGAGUGAAAAAGAACCUGAAACCGUGUACGUACAAGCAGUGGGAGCACCUUCGGGUGUGACUGCGUACCUUUUGUAUAAUGGGUCAGCGACUUAUAUUCUGUAGCAAGGUUAACCGUAUAGGGGAGCCGCAGGGAAACCGAGUCUUAACUGGGCGUUAAGUUGCAGGGUAUAGACCCGAAACCCGGUGAUCUAGCCAUGGGCAGGUUGAAGGUUGGGUAACACUAACUGGAGGACCGAACCGACUAAUGUUGAAAAAUUAGCGGAUGACUUGUGGCUGGGGGUGAAAGGCCAAUCAAACCGGGAGAUAGCUGGUUCUCCCCGAAAGCUAUUUAGGUAGCGCCUCGUGAAUUCAUCUUCGGGGGUAGAGCACUGUUUCGGCUAGGGGGUCAUCCCGACUUACCAACCCGAUGCAAACUACGAAUACCGAAGAAUGUUAUCACGGGAGACACACGGCGGGUGCUAACGUCCGUCGUGAAGAGGGAAACAACCCAGACCGCCAGCUAAGGUCCCAAAGUCAUGGUUAAGUGGGAAACGAUGUGGGAAGGCACAGACAGCCAGGAUGUUGGCUUAGAAGCAGCCAUCAUUUAAAGAAAGCGUAAUAGCUCACUGGUCGAGUCGGCCUGCGCGGAAGAUGUAACGGGGCUAAACCAUGCACCGAAGCUGCGGCAGCGACACUAUGUGUUGUUGGGUAGGGGAGCGUUCUGUAAGCCUGCGAAGGUGACCUGUGAGGGUUGCUGGAGGUAUCAGAAGUGCGAAUGCUGACAUAAGUAACGAUAAAGCGGGUGAAAAGCCCGCUCGCCGGAAGACCAAGGGUUCCUGUCCAACGUUAAUCGGGGCAGGGUGAGUCGACCCCUAAGGCGAGGCCGAAAGGCGUAGUCGAUGGGAAACAGGUUAAUAUUCCUGUACUUGGUGUUACUGCGAAGGGGGGACGGAGAAGGCUAUGUUAGCCGGGCGACGGUUGUCCCGGUUUAAGCAUGUAGGCUGAUUGUCCAGGCAAAUCCGGAUAAUCAAGGCUGAGGUGUGAUGACGAGGCACUACGGUGCUGAAGUAACAAAUGCCCUGCUUCCAGGAAAAGCCUCUAAGCAUCAGGUAACAUCAAAUCGUACCCCAAACCGACACAGGUGGUCAGGUAGAGAAUACCAAGGCGCUUGAGAGAACUCGGGUGAAGGAACUAGGCAAAAUGGUGCCGUAACUUCGGGAGAAGGCACGCUGGUGUGUAGGUGAAGCCCCUGCGGGUGGAGCUGAGACCAGUCGAAGAUACCAGCUGGCUGCAACUGUUUAUUAAAAACACAGCACUGUGCAAACACGAAAGUGGACGUAUACGGUGUGACGCCUGCCCGGUGCCGGAAGGUUAAUUGAUGGGGUUAUCCGUAAGGAGAAGCUCUUGAUCGAAGCCCCGGUAAACGGCGGCCGUAACUAUAACGGUCCUAAGGUAGCGAAAUUCCUUGUCGGGUAAGUUCCGACCUGCACGAAUGGCGUAAUGAUGGCCAGGCUGUCUCCACCCGAGACUCAGUGAAAUUGAACUCGCUGUGAAGAUGCAGUGUACCCGCGGCAAGACGGAAAGACCCCGUGAACCUUUACUAUAGCUUGACACUGAACAUUGAGCCUUGAUGUGUAGGAUAGGUGGGAGGCUUUGAAGCGUGGACGCCAGUCUGCGUGGAGCCAACCUUGAAAUACCACCCUUUAAUGUUUGAUGUUCUAACGUUGGCCCCUGACCGGGGUUGCGGACAGUGUCUGGUGGGUAGUUUGACUGGGGCGGUCUCCUCCCAAAGCGUAACGGAGGAGCACGAAGGUUAGCUAAUCCUGGUCGGACAUCAGGAGGUUAGUGCAAUGGCAUAAGCUAGCUUGACUGCGAGCGUGACGGCGCGAGCAGGUGCGAAAGCAGGUCAUAGUGAUCCGGUGGUUCUGAAUGGAAGGGCCAUCGCUCAACGGAUAAAAGGUACUCCGGGGAUAACAGGCUGAUACCGCCCAAGAGUUCAUAUCGACGGCGGUGUUUGGCACCUCGAUGUCGGCUCAUCACAUCCUGGGGCUGAAGUAGGUCCCAAGGGUAUGGCUGUUCGCCAUUUAAAGUGGUACGCGAGCUGGGUUUAGAACGUCGUGAGACAGUUCGGUCCCUAUCUGCCGUGGGCGCUGGAGAAUUGAGGGGGGCUGCUCCUAGUACGAGAGGACCGGAGUGGACGCAUCACUGGUGUUCGGGUUGUCAUGCCAAUGGCACUGCCCGGUAGCUAAAUGCGGAAGAGAUAAGUGCUGAAAGCAUCUAAGCACGAAACUUGCCCCGAGAUGAGUUCUCCCUGAGACUUUAAGUCUCCUGAAGGAACGUUGAAGACGACGACGUUGAUAGGCCGGGUGUGUAAGCGCAGCGAUGCGUUGAGCUAACCGGUACUAAUGAACCGUGAGGCUUAACCUU
rnacentral:rRNA from 1 species